AAAAUCCGUCGAUUCUUGAAAUCAUGAGGGUUCAAGUCCCUCUAUCCCC
rnacentral:tRNA from 7 species